rnacentral:lncRNA from 1 species
GGGGCAUUAUGUUUUCUGGUCUGUGCGUCCGUUCGUUCGUCCGUUCGUUCGUCCGUCUGUCCCGCUUCAGGUUAAAGUUUUUGGUCAAGGUAGUUUUUGAUGAAGUUGAAGUCCAAUCAACUUGAAACUUAGUACACAUGUUCCUUAUGAUAUGAUCUUUCUAAUUUUAAAGCCAAAUUAAACUUUUGACCCCAAUUUCACGGUCCACUGAACAUAGAAAAUGAAAGUGCAUGUUUCAGGUUAAAGUUUUUCAGGUUAAAGUUUUUGGUCAAGGUAGUUUUUGAUGAAGUUGAAGUCCAAUCAACUUGAAACUUAGUACACAUGUUCCUUAUGAUAUGAUCUUUCUAAUUUUAAAGCCAAAUUAAACUUUUGACCCCCAAUUUCACGGUCCACUGAACAUAGAAAAUGAAAGUGCAUGUUUCAGGUUAAAGUUUUUGGUCAAGGUAGUUUUUGAUGAAGUUGAAGUCCAAUCAACUUGAAACUUAGUACACAUGUUCCUUAUGAUAUGAUCUUUCUAAUUUUAAAGCCAAAUUAAACUUUUGACCCCAAUUUCACGGUCCACUGAACAUAGAAAAUGAAAGUGCAUGUUUCAGGUUAAAGUUUUUCAGGUUAAAGUUUUUGGUCAAAGGUAGUUUUUGAUGAAGUUGAAGUCCAAUCAACUUGAAACUUAGUACACAUGUUCCUUAUGAUAUGAUCUUUCUAAUUUUAAAGCCAAAUUAAACUUUUGACCCCAAUUUCACGGUCCACUGAACAUAGAAAAUGAAAGUGCAUGUUUCAGGUUAAAGUUUUUCAGGUUAAAGUUUUUGGUCAAGGUAGUUUUUGAUGAAGUUGAAGUCCAAUCAACUUGAAACUUAGUACACAUGUUCCUUAUGAUAUGAUCUUUCUAAUUUUAAAGCCAAAUUAAACUUUUGACCCCCAAUUUCACGGUCCACUGAACAUAGAAAAUGAAAGUGCAUGUUUCAGGUUAAAGUUUUUGGUCAAGGUAGUUUUUGAUGAAGUUGAAGUCCAAUCAACUUGAAACUUAGUACAACAUGUUCCUUAUGAUAUGAUCUUUCUAAUUUAAAGCCAAAUUAAACUUUUGACCCCAAUUUCACGGUCCACUGAACAUAGAAAAUGAAAGUGCAUGUUUCAGGUUAAAGUUUUUGGUCAAGGUAGUUUUUGAUGAAGUUGAAGUCCAAUCAACUUGAAACUUAGUACACAUGUUCCUUAUGAUAUGAUCUUUCUAAUUUUAAAAGCCAAAUUAAACUUUUGACCCCAAUUUCACGGUCCACUGAACAUAGAAAAUGAAAGUGCAUGUUUCAGGUUAAAGUUUUUUGGUCAAGGUAGUUUUUGAUGAAGUUGAAGUCCAAUCAACUUGAAACUUAGUACACAUGUUCCCUAUGAUAUUAUCUUUCUAAUUUUAAUGCCUAAUUAUAUUUUUUAUCCAAUUUCAUGGUCCAUUGAACAUGGAAAAUGAUAGUGUGAGUGGGGCAUCCGUGUACUUUGGACACAUUCUUGUUUUUUUAU